GACGAACGCUGGCGGCGUGCUUAACACAUGCAAGUCGAACGGUGAAGGGACCGGUUUUUGCUGGUUCUGGAUGAGUGGCGAACGGGUGAGUAACACGUGAGUAACCUGCCCCCUUCUUCUGGAUAACCGCAUGAAAGUGUGGCUAAUACGGGAUAUUCUGCGCCUGCUGCAUGGUGGGUGUGGGAAAGAUAUUGUUUCGGUGGGGGAUGGGCUCGCGGCCUAUCAGCUUGUUGGUGGGGUGAUGGCCUACCAAGGCGGUGACGGGUAGCCGGCCUGAGAGGGUGGACGGUCACGCUGGGACUGAGACACGGCCCAGACUCCGACGGGAGGCAGCAGUGGGGAAUAUUGCACGAUGGGCGCAAGCCUGAUGCAGCGACGCCGAGUGAGGGAUGGAGGCCUUCGGGUUGUAAACCUCUUUCGCCAGUGAAGCAGGCCUGUCCCUUUGGUGGGUGGGUUGACGGUAGCUGGAUAAGAAGCGCCGGCUAACUACGU
rnacentral:rRNA from 1 species